ACUCCUACGGGAGGCAGCAGUGGGGAAUAUUGGACAAUGGGCGCAAGCCUGAUCCAGCCAUGCCGCGUGAGUGAUGAAGGCCUUAGGGUUGUAAAGCUCUUUUGUCCGGGACGAUAAUGACGGUACCGGAAGAAUAAGCCCCGGCUAACUUCGUGCCAGCAGCCGCGGUAAUACGAAGGGGGCUAGCGUUGCUCGGAAUCACUGGGGCGUAAAGGGCGCGUAGGCGGCCAUUCAAGUCGGGGGUGAAAGCCUGUGGCUCAACCACAGAAUUGCCUUCGAUACUGUUUGGCUUGAGUUUGGUAGAGGUUGGUGGAACUGCGAGUGUAGAGGUGAAAUUCGUAGAUAUUCGCAAGAACACCAGUGGCGAAGGCGGCCAACUGGACCAAUACUGACGCUGAGGCGCGAAAGCGUGGGGAGCAAACAGGAUUAGAUACCCUGGUAGGAUAGCG
rnacentral:rRNA from 1 species